AGCGAACGUUAGCGGCGGGCCUAACACAUGCAAGUCGAACGAGAAAGCUUCCUUCGGGAAGUAGUAAAGUGGCGGACGGGUGAGUAACACGUGGGUAAUCUACCCUUCGGCGGGGGACAACAGUUCGAAAGGACUGCUAAUACCGCAUACGUUAACGAGUUCUUCGGAACUUGUUAGGAAAGCUGACCUCUACAUGUAAGUUGGCACCGAAGGAGGAGCCCGCGUCCCAUCAGCUUGUUGGUAGGGUAACGGCCUACCAAGGCAGAGACGGGUAGCUGGUCUGAGAGGAUGAUCAGCCACACUGGGACUGAGACACGGCCCAGACUCCUACGGGAGGCAGCAGUGAGGAAUUUUGCGCAAUGGGGGAAACCCUGACGCAGCAACGCCGCGUGAGUGAUGAAGGCCUUCGGGUCGUAAAGCUCUUUUAGUGGGGAAGAAAUUCAGCGGUAUUAAUACUAUCAUUGAUUGACGGUACCCACAGAAAAAGUUCCGGCUAACUCCGUG
rnacentral:rRNA from 1 species